rnacentral:rRNA from 1 species
CGGACCGGCGCGACGGUGAGUAACGCGUAUGCAACUUACCUAUCAGGAGGGGAUAACCCGGCGAAAGUCGGACUAAUACCGCAUAAAGCAGGGAUCCCGCAUGGGAAUAUUUGCUAAAGAUUCAUCGCUGAUAGAUAGGCAUGCGUUCCAUUAGGCAGUUGGCGGGGUAACGGCCCACCAAACCGACGAUGGAUAGGGGUUCUGAGAGGAAGGUCCCCCACAUUGGUACUGAGACACGGACCAA